GUCGGUGUGGUUUAGUUGGCUAUAAUGGUUCUACUGGAGUAAUGGCUCCGUAAAAAGGACCCGAGUUCGAUCCUCGGCGCCGACC